rnacentral:rRNA from 1 species
GAUGAACGCUGGCGGCGUGCCUAAUACAUGCAAGUCGAGCGAACAGAUGAGGAGGUUGUCCCUCGGACGUUAGCGGCGGACGGGUGAGUAACACGUGGAUAACUAACCUAUAAGACUGGGAUAACUUCGGGAAACCGGAGCUAAUAACGGAGAAUAUAUUAAACCGCAAGGUUACAUAGUGAAAGACGGCUUUGCUGAAAAUUAUAGAUGGAUCAGAGCCGCAUGAGCUAGUUGGGAAGGUAACGGAUUACCAAGGCAACGAAGCCUAGCCGACCUGAACGGGUGAUCGGCCACACUAGAUCUGAGGCACGGUCCACACUCCUGCAGGAAGCAGCAGUAGGGAAUCCUCCGCGAUGGAGGAGAGCCUGACAGAGCAACGCCGCGGGAGUGAUGAUGGUCUUCCGAUCGUAAAGCUCUGUUGUUAGGGAGGAACAAAUGUGUAAGUAACUAUGCACGUCUUGACGGUACCUAAUCAGAAAGCCACGGCUAACUACGUG